rnacentral:lncRNA from 1 species
UACAUAUACCAUAAUCCAGUCUCGCGUUAUCCCUACUCCUUGGAACAAAACCGACGGACACACUCUCCCGCGGCUUUCUUCGAACGGGCUGCACCGCGUGUCAGUUCGAAAGCAACCGCGGACAAUAACCGACACUCGGAGCCCGGGAUAUUCUCUUCUUACUCUUAUAGAAAUCCUAUUUUGUUAUUAUUAAUAUUUUUGAUUCUUAUUUUCACGGUGGAAAAUUUUCUUAGAAGGAGAAAAAAAUCAUCGUUGAGGCGCGUAAAUAGUUUCGUACAAACGCGACGGUAAUUUGGAAAGAAGAAGAAAAAAAAAACAAAUGUAAAAAUAAAAUAUUAGAAAAUAAAUCCGAGAAAAGAUUCGCGCAGUGUGUCUCUAAAGUGUGUUCACGAAACGAAGAAAAAAAGGGAAUUAAACUAUAAGGAAUUUUUAUCUCCUUAAAGGUGUUUGUAAAUGAACUUAAUAGCAAAGUGAUCGUGUUUAAUGUUGAAUCAAAGAAAAGGGAGAAUUAUUUGGAUAAACAAGGCUUAUCAAACAUUAUCGCAUCGGUGAUAAACACCUGAACAACUACGACGACGACAACUACGACAACUUAAACGUAUGUUUAAUUAACGAUGUUUCCUUUACGUAUAAUACGAACGAUUAUUAUAACGUGAAUGUGUGUUGUGUUGUGUUUACCGAA